UAGGGAAUCUUCCGCAAUGGGCGAAAGCCUGACGGAGCAACGCCGCGUGAGUGAUGAAGGUCUUCGGAUCGUAAAACUCUGUUAUUAGGGAAGAACAAAUGUGUAAGUAACUAUGCACGUCUUGACGGUACCUAAUCAGAAAGCCACGGCUAACUACGUGCCAGCAGCCGCGGUAAUACGUAGGUGGCAAGCGUUAUCCGGAAUUAUUGGGCGUAAAGCGCGCGUAGGCGGUUGUUUAAGUCUGAUGUGAAAGCCCACGGCUCAACCGUGGGGGGUCAUUGGAAACUGGAAAACUUGAGUGCAGAAGAGGGAAGUGGAAUUCCAUGUGUAGCGGUGAAAUGCGCAGAGAUAUGGAGGAACACCAGUGGCGAAGGCGACUUUCUGGUCUGUAACUGACGCUGAUGUGCGAAAGCGUGGGGAUCAAACAGG
rnacentral:rRNA from 1 species